rnacentral:rRNA from 1 species
GCGUGAGUGAAGAAGGCCUUAGGGUUGUAAAGCUCUUUCGCCCGAGACGAUGAUGACGGUAUCGGGAGAAGAAGCCCCGGCUAAUUCCGUGCCAGCAGCCGCGGUAAUACGGAAGGGGCUAGCGUUGUUCGGAUUUACUGGGCGUAAAGCGCGCGUAGGCGGCUGACCAAGUGAGGCGUGAAAGCCCCGGGCUCAACCUGGGAACCGCGCUUCAGACUGGUCGGCUCGAGUCCGGGAGAGGGUGGUGGAAUUCCCAGUGUAGAGGUGAAAUUCGU